rnacentral:rRNA from 1 species
UGCAUAUCCAAAAAAGCGGAGGAAAAGAAACCAACAGGGAUUGCCUUAGUAGCGGCGAGUGAAGCGGCAAUAGCUCAAAUUUGAAAUCUGGCACCUUCGGUGUCCGAGUUGUAAUUUGAAGAAGGUAUCUUUGGUUUUGGCUCUUGUCUAUGUUCCUUGGAACAGGACGUCACAGAGGGUGAGAAUCCCGUGCGAUGAGAUGCCCAAUUCCAUGUAAAGUUCCUUCGACGAGUCGAGUUGUUUGGGAAUGCAGCUCUAAGUGGGUGGUAAAUUCCAUCUAAAGCUAAAUAUUGGCGAGAGACCGAUAGCGAACAAGUACUGUGAAGGAAAGAUGAAAAGAACUUUGAAAAGAGAGUGAAAAAGUACGUGAAAUUGUUGAAAGGGAAGGGCUUGAGGUCAGACUUGGUUUUACCAGGCCAGCAUCAGUUUGGAUGGCAGGAUAAUAGCUUAGGAAUGUGGCACUGCUUCGGUAGUGUGUUAUAGCCUGGGUUGAUACUGCCUGUCUAGACUGAGGACUGCGUCUUUGACUAGGAUGCUGGCAUAAUGACCUUAAGCCGCCCGUCUUAA